CUGUCCCAGCUUUUAGUAAUCUUACUGCUGUUGAUUUACUGCCCUCUUCUGCUUGAUGAUGUGAGUUGUCCAAUGGUUAAUUAUGCUCAAUUAGUUCUCACUGGAGAGUAACAUUUCCUGCUUAGAAAGAAGAUAGCCUUAUGCCAGAAAAAAAACCAAACAAACAACCAAAACCAAACCAAAAAACAAAAACACAUUAUGGGGUGGAGGGUGAUCAAUGAACCUCCAUGGGCCCCAGUAAUUUAAUUAUAUUAUAGAGAUAGAGAAAAUAUGAUUUUGGUACAUAUUGCUGUCUCUCCUCUUCCACUUCUUUAUAUUUCCCUCUAAUUGGUUUGCCUACCACAAUCAAUGCUGAACUGAGAAGAAAACAAACAGGCAGCAGAACUUCCAGAGAUGAAACACGGCAACUACAACAAUGUGUAAUACUUUUCCUGGAGCACAAGCAGAGCUCAUGCAUAUAUAUUUUAAAAUAUCUCCAAGUGCUGAAGGUUUUUAAGUAAGGAAAACUAUUUAUCACUAAAAGAGCAAAAUUUUGAGGUAAUUAAGAGACUGGACCUGCCCAUGAAAUCUUAUACAAAUAAUUAACCGACCACACAAAGAAGAGUUUUCUAUUGCUCCGAAGUUGUGCAUUUGUUAUGCAGGAGCUGUUGGGUGUUAAUCAAAAUCAACCUUUCAGAGCUUGCUAAAGCCAUCAUUUAUUUCAGCUAAGUAUCAAGAGGAAGUAGAGAACAUCUGCAGAUGGAGAAAUGUCUCAUUCUGCUACAAGGGGAGUCGGGGAGGAUUCCUUUUGACAGAUUGCUUUGACAUGAAGCGCAAAUGCCACAGUAUUAUAUGAGAACCGUUUAUUUUCUCCUACCGAAGGGAGAUGAAAAAGGGAGUAGAGAAAAGAAAAGAGAGACGGAGAGAGAAACAGAAGACAAGGACAGAACGCUGCCGUCAGCUCGGCAGGUGGAGCAUGUGCGCCGCAAGCUGCGGUGAGCCUGGCGGGGCAGAGCGGGGAUGGAUUUCCUUAUCUGCUGCAAAACACUACAGAAAGCUUCCUCAGUCAGGCCCAUUGAAGGUCUCAGGACGUCCCUGAAAUGUUAAGCCUGGGGUACCUCUGGAGCCAGUAAAUCAUUCUCCCCUCCAGCUUCUGGGGAUCCCCCAGCACUCUCCUCCUGUGCUGUGGGUGCAGCACUCUCCUCCUGUG